GCAUAUCAAUAAGCGGAGGAAAAGAAACCAACAGGGAUUGCCCUAGUAACGGCGAGUGAAGCGGCAACAGCUCAAAUUUGAAAUCUGGCUUCGGCCCGAGUUGUAAUUUGCAGAGGAAGCUUUAGGCGCGGCACCUUCUGAGUCCCCUGGAACGGGGCGCCAUAGAGGGUGAGAGCCCCGUAUAGUUGGAUGCCUAGCCUGUGUAAAGCUCCUUCGACGAGUCGAGUAGUUUGGGAAUGCUGCUCAAAAUGGGAGGUAAAUUUCUUCUAAAGCUAAAUACCGGCCAGAGACCGAUAGCGCACAAGUAGAGUGAUCGAAAGAUGAAAAGCACUUUGAAAAGAGGGUUAAAUAGCACGUGAAAUUGUUGAAAGGGAAGCGCUUGUGACCAGACUUGCGCCGGGCAGAUCAUCCGGUGUUCUCACCGGUGCACUCUGCCCGGCUCAGGCCAGCAUCGGUUCUCGCGGGGGGAUAAAGGCCCUGGGAACGUAGCUCCUCCGGGAGUGUUAUAGCCCGGGGCGUAAUGCCCUCGCGGGGACCGAGGUUCGCGCAUCUGCAAGGAUGCUGGCGUAAUGGUCAUCAGCGACCCGUCUUGAAACACGGACCAAGGAGUCAAGGUUUUGCGCGAGUGUUUGGGUGUAAAACCCGCACGCGUAAUGAAAGUGAACGUAGGUGAGAGCUUCGGCGCAUCAUCGACCGAUCCUGAUGUUUUCGGAUGGAUUUGAGUAGGAGCGUUAAGCCUUGGACCCGAAAGAUGGUGAACUAUGCUUGGAUAGGGUGAAGCCAGAGGAAACUCUGGUGGAGGCUCGCAGCGGUUCUGACGUGCAAAUCGAUCGUCAAAUCUGAGCAUGGGGGCGAAAGACUAAUCGAACCAUCUAGUAGCUGGUUACCGCCGAA
rnacentral:rRNA from 1 species